UUAUCUUCCAUAAAUGAUUAAUGCCAAAUCCAUGCAUUCCAAAUCCUUAAAUACAAACGGAACCUAAUAGUCUGAACUUUGUUAUUUCUUUCAGGGGCGAUGUUGUGCAAGUCAACAGUUGGGUAGCUACGUCUGGAAAGAAUGGUAUGCGGGGUGAUUGGAUUGUCCAUGACUGCAAAACAGGGGACAUUCUAACAAGAGCUUCCAGUGUCUGAGUGAUGAUGAAUAAAGAGACACAGAGGUUAUCUAAGAUACCAGAUGAAGUUAGAGUGGAAAUAGGUCCUUAUUUUGUGGAUUCACCUCCUGUUCUGGACGAGGACAGCAGAAAAUUACCAAAGCUUAAUGAAAACAUCAUAGAUUAUAUUCGUAUUGGUUUAACUGUAAGUUAAAGAAUUUGAUGGUCAUGAUUAUUUGCCUCUGUUAUGCAGCAUAUGACUGCUUGGUGCUGCUCGAACCUUGGUUUGUUGAUAUGAUUUGUGCAUUUUGAAUUGAUCAACCUAAACGGAGUGAUUUAGAUGUCAACCUGCAUGUUAAUAAUGUGAAAUACGUUGGCUGGAUUGUUGAGGGGCACACACCAUAGGGAUUUCUCACUGUACAAGCUUCACCAUAGGGAUUUCUUCUAGCUAUUGCCACGGGUUUAGGUGCCUUAAUACAUACAUUGGGUAGCCUUGUCCCUAUGAUAGGAGUAAGUGGAUUUGCUACAGCUGCAACUGUAACUGCAACUGCUAUAGGAACUGUUGUCGGUAGUUUUAGAUAGUCUCUUAAUAGUUGUCGAUAUGUUUAGAAAGUUAGAUAUGCAUAGUACCUGUUUGGUGCAGCUUAAAAGCUGCUUAUUUCAGCUUUCAGCGUAAUUUAAGCUAUUUUGAUGUGUUUGGUUUAGCUUAUAGC